GUAACGCCCGGCCCUGCCCCCAGCAGAGGCGGAAGCGGUGUCGCUCUGAGGGGUCGCCAGUCGCCGCAGGCGCUUCAGCCCAGCGGCGGGCCUUGGCCCUUGGCUGCCUACUCCUACCGCCCCAGCCCCGGGCGGCCCUGGGCCUGCUGCGGGCGCGGCGCUGCCCGACCAGAGCUUCCUGUGGAACGUCUUCCAGAGGGUCGAUAAAGACAGGAGUGGAGUGAUAUCAGACACCGAGCUUCAGCAAGCUCUCUCCAACGGACAAAGGAAUCAUUAGGACAAAUUGUUAAUACUGCUUCAUGGUGGAGAUGCUUCUGGUUUAUUUUGUGGCUACCGCUGUUACUGCUUGGAGUGCCUCACCGAGCCAGGAUGAAGCCCCACCCGCCCUUCAGGAUGCCAGCCUUGGCAACAUCGUGAGACCCUGUUUCUACAAAAACUAAACAAGUGUAGUGGUGCACGCCUGUAUUCCCAGCUACUUGGGAGGCUGAGAUGGGAAGAUCACUUGAGCCUGGGAGGUUGAGGCUGCAUUGAGCUGAGAUCAAGCCACGGCACUCCAGCCUGGGAGACAGAGCGAAACCCCAUCUCAAAAAAACAAAGAAAGUGGAUGCGUGCUGCUCCUGCCAUUGGAUCAUCGCAGCAUUUUUCUUUUCUCUGAUAUGCGCCUUUUUCCUCAUCGUGGGGGCUCAUGUUUUCGUAAUUCCCUCUCGCUACUAGAUUGUGAGCUGUGUGAAGGAAGGUUCAUAGUUGAGUUGUAUGUACAGGCACACAAAAUUUGUCCUUGGAUAGACACAUAUCAAUCCACUUCCUUCUCCUCUCUGAAUUUCUUUAUUUAAAAAAAAAAGUAGAGAUGGAGUCUCACUGUCUUGCCCAGGCUGGUGUCAAACUCCUAGGCUCAAGUGAUCCUCCCACCUCUACUAAUAUGAAUUAUUAGGCUAUGCUAAUAUGAAUUUGUAUACUAAUAUGAUUGAAAUUAGUUUGACUUCUAUAAUAAUUGUUCUCCCAGAUUGGGCUUCUGUUUUGAUAGUAGAACUAAAUUAUUAGGCUAUUUCAAGAAAUUAAUAUAUUACUGGUAGAAAAACUGAAGCUACAAAAUGGCCUGGUUUCUCACUUCAGUUAAAUUUGUGCUUCUGAGUGCUUGUAUUCUAGGUGAAACCGCACUGAGAAGGUAUUUGUGGCCUAUACGCUGAUUCAUUGAUUAGACUUCUUUGCACAGGAGAGCUGCUAAAAAUUACUGCGGUGAACAGAUGGAGGCCCAUUGAGGCUUCUCUGUCCUCCACGGGGAACAGCAUUGGCCUAAACCUGCAGACACCAUUGCAAAGGGAAUUCAGGCAAACCGGCUGGUGAAGAAUGAUUCCAGCGUGGGGACAGAGGCUGACAUUUCUUGCGCACGUGGACUCCCUUUAAUCCAGUGACUGUCAGGUCGAUCAUAUACUACACUGAAGGCUGGUUACGCUCUUAUGUGCAAUAGAACCUCAAACACAUCGUAACACACCUUUGGAGAAUCCUUACAAGAACACCAAGUUAACAGUUAUCUCUGACCACACUACCUCAGCAAAAAACCAGGAAGAAAAAAUAUUCUUCAACCCUUUUCAGGGACAGAAAGCAUCAUUUCAAAAGUCCAAGAAGGGAAGGUAAGAAUUUCAGAAGUGAAAGUUAUCAUGAAAGGCUAUAAAAGCUUGAGAUGAGUCUGAAAAACAAAUGGAAAAUGAGUCACUUCAGGGCCUCUCCCAGCCUCAAAGCCAAUUAAUUAUUACAUUAGUCAGAGUAAUUUUAAGCCUUCCAAUCCACUCACCCUAGCCACAGGCAACAGUAGCCUCUCCAAGUGUUAAGGGUUUUUUUCCCAAGCCUGCAGGCGGAUGAGCUUUUUACAUGGCAGCCCCUUAGGAUUGGAUGUGGACCUGCCCUGUCUUUCACCAAGAAGCAAGCACUGCGCAGAUCACUGAAUCAUAAAAACCACCUGCUCUUACCAGCCUCCUCUUCCUCUACAGCAAAACUUCUGACCUGAGACAUCGAAGCAGAUAAAAAGCCGCUACACAAAAUGUAUCGCUACAACUAGAGGGCAGUCUUGCCUUUCUUCCAUUCAAUUAUUCAGUUUCUCAUGUUCCUAAGUGCCAGCCCAGAACCAUGGAAUGUGAAGAAACACAAAACUCACUCCUCUGCAUCAGUGAAUUGAUUGUGUGGUGGGGAUGUAAGUCUGCAUGUGACUGACAGUUCCCCAAAGUGGUGCCAAGUCAAUCUAAACUAGAGAGAAUUUCUGGCCAGGCCAAGCAGAGAUUUCAUGGAUGAAGUCUCCCAAAGACUGAUUUCCUAAACAUUAAACAUCACUGGUUUUCCAAAA
ensembl:lncRNA novel transcript